GGCACUAUUCUAUCAUCGUCGAUUACUAAGGGAUGCUGAAGAGAGUGCUAGCCCCCCAGCUUCCGGAUACUGAGCUAUACCAGUUUACGGCUUAAGGGUGAUGAGUCUGCAUGAAAUCAAAAGGCCAAGGUUCGUGUUAGUCUAUGUGAAGCUAAAUGUAAAAUUCAUAGUUACAUAAAUCCUGUAUAAAUAGACUUGGCAGGUGAAAUUUAAAAAUCUGCAAUGUAUCGAAUUCAAGUACAUGUUUAUUACCUUCUCAAUGAAUUUCAUUGAAGACAGAACAUUAGCAAUA